CCUACGGGAGGCAGCAGUGAGGAAUAUUGGUCAAUGGACUUACGCCUGAACCAGCCAAGUCGCGUGAGGGAAGACUGCCCUAUGGGUUGUAAACCUCUUUUGUCAGGGAGCAAUUGGCGCUACGUGUAGCGUUAUCGAGAGUACCUGAAGAAAAAGCAUCGGCUAACCCCGUGCCAGCAGCAGCGGUAAGACGGAGGAUGCGAGGGUUAUCCGGAUUUAUUGGGUUUAAAGGGUGCGUAGGCGGAAUGCCAAGUCAGCGGUAAAAUCGCGGGGCUCAACGUCACUCCGCGGUUGAAACUGGCGGUCUUGAGUGGGCGAGAGGUAUGCGGAAUGCGUGGUGUAGCGGUGAAAUGCAUAGAUAUCACGCAGAACUCCGAUUGCGAAGGCAGCAUACCGGCGUCCAACUGACGCUGAAGCACGAAAGCGUGGGUAUCGAACAGGAUUAGAUACCCCUGUAGUC
rnacentral:rRNA from 1 species